AUUCCAGCUCCAAUAGCGUAUAUUAAAGUUGUUGCAGUUAAAAAGCUCGUAGUUGGAUUUCUGGCGAGGCUUGGUCGGUCGGCGCUUAGCGUGUGAACCGUGUCGAGCCUUGCCAUCCUGAGGAAGAACCUUGUUGGCAUUAAGUUGUCGACUUGGGUACUCCUCUCGUUUACUGUGAAAAAAUUAGAGUGUUCAAAGCAGGCUUAUGCCGUUGAAUAGUCCAGCAUGGAAUAAUAAGACAGGACCUCGGUGCUAUUUUGUUGGUUUGCGCACCAAGGUAAUGAUUAAUAGGGACAGUUGGGGGUAUUCGUAUUCUGCAGUCAGAGGUGAAAUUCUUGGAUUUACGGACGACGAACUACUGCGAAAGCAUUUACCAAGGAUGUUUUCAUCA
rnacentral:rRNA from 1 species